rnacentral:rRNA from 1 species
UGAUCUAUCGUACCCACUCCGCGAACCAUUAAUGUCCUCUCAAUUUACCCAGCAGGGUGCCGCGAUACGUGCCGCUUAAUGGCAUUGCCCAUAAAGGGGUCCACGAUACGUGCUGCAGCAUUGCCUAUAAAGGGGCCCACGAUACGUGCUUCGGCAUUGCCCUAUAAAAGGGGUCCACGAUACGUGCUGCAGCAUUGCCUAUAAAGGGGCCCGCGAUACGUGCCUAGGCAUUGAGUUUAAAGGGUAAACUGCUGGUGAGAGCGCAGGUCAGGGGCUGCAGCUCUUUGGCUGUAGUUGACUUGGCUGGGCGGGUCCAAUACCAAUUGGGUUCCUCUUUGCCUUUGGCUUGGAGGUUACUCAGCUGUGAGGGGUGACUUGACCAACUAUUAAGCUUUAUUUCUGAAGACAGGCUGUUAGCUGGCUUGCUGGCUGCAGACUGAUUUAACAAAAGACAACUCUCAACAACGGAUAUCUUGGCUCCCGUAACGAUGAAGAACGCAGCGAAAUGCGAUACGUAGUGUGAAUUGCAGAAUUCCGUGAACCAUCGAAUCUUUGAACGCAAAUUGCGCUCGAGGCCUCGGCUAAGAGCAUGUCUGGCUCAGCGUCGGCUUACUACCCUCAAUCAAUUACCUUGUGAUGAUUGGUUGGAGCUGGCUUUCCGGUGUUCCUAUCAGGUUGCCRGUCAGCUGAAAAACAUUCACGCUGUGGAAGUCGCUUUCCCUUCAAAAAGGAAAGCCGAGUUCCGAUUUGGUAGGUGACCUUUGCCGGUUGCAUGCCUUCGUUGCUCGUUUUGGCUUUCAUGAUAGCGUGUGCAGGACGCCAUUUUGGCUUUCGA